AUUGAACGCUGGCGGCAGGCCUAACACAUGCAAGUCGAGCGCGAAAGGCCUUCGGGCUGAGUAGAGCGGCGGACGGGUGAGUAACGCGUAGGAAUCUACCUGGUAGUGGGGGACAACUUGGGGAAACUCAAGCUAAUACCGCAUACGCCCUAUGGGGGAAAGUGGGGGACCUUCGGGCCUCACGCUAUCAGAUGAGCCUGCGUAGGAUUAGCUAGUUGGUGAGGUAAAGGCUCACCAAGGCGACGAUCCUUAGCUGGUCUGAGAGGAUGAUCAGCCACACUGGGACUGAGACACGGCCCAGACUCCUACGGGAGGCAGCAGUGGGGAAUAUUGCGCAAUGGGGGCAACCCUGACGCAGCCAUGCCGCGUGUGUGAAGAAGGCCUCGG
rnacentral:rRNA from 1 species